AUUAAAUAAAAUUGAGAAAGGAAAUGGUGAAUAUGUCAAAGCGACAACCACCCGACCAUAGAGCAAACAACAGCCGAAGGCAACCAAUGGGUCUUCAAUGUAGCGAGAAUUCCCGCACCCGUAGGUGUCCUUCAGCUGGCCCCUAAAAUAUGCAUAAUAGUACAGUGAUAAUGGACGUCAUACUAAACUCCGAAUUAUACACAAGAAACUAAAAUUUA
rnacentral:lncRNA from 1 species